UUCAUCCCUUGUUUGAAACCCCCUUGAGCCUAUUCUCCCUUUUUUGUUUAAAACUCAUUACAAGCCGAGAAGUGAAAAACAAUGUUAUCACCCUAUUCAAAGGGUUGAAAAAGUCUUGUUUGAAGUUGUGUGGGGUUGACUAAUUAUGUUGUAAUAUUUCAGAAGUUGGCAGAAAAAGAAAAAAAAAUAGAAAAAGAAAAUAGAAAAGAAAAAAAAUGAAUGAAAAAAAUAGAAUGAUGUCAAUACAUACUCCUUCUAUAAAAUAUAUAUGAAAAUGAAUAAAAAGAGGAAGGAUAAGAGAAAACAAUUGCUAUAGAGUUGUUCAAGUGAAUGAGAUAUUUUAUAAAUUCAACUCCCGCAGUUUCUUUUAAGUCUCUUUUAUCUCUUUGAAUUUUAACCUAGUACCCCUUAUGAUUUAUCUCACCCUUACGUUGGCCAUGUUACAACCAAAUAAAAGUCCUUUUGAUCUUUGUGUGCAUGUAUUCCAAUUGUGCAUGUUAGAGUCUUUUCAAG
rnacentral:lncRNA from 1 species